rnacentral:rRNA from 1 species
UACGUAGGGUGCAAGCGUUGUCCGGAAUUAUUGGGCGUAAAGAGCUCGUAGGCGGUUUGUCGCGUCUGCUGUGAAAACCCGAGGCUCAACCUCGGGCCUGCAGUGGGUACGGGCAGACUGGAGUGCGGUAGGGGAGAUUGGAAUUCCUGGUGUAGCGGUGGAAUGCGCAGAUAUCAGGAGGAACACCAAUGGCGAAGGCAGAUCUCUGGGCCGUAACUGACGCUGAGGAGCGAAAAGCAUGGGGAGCGAACAGG